rnacentral:rRNA from 1 species
GAUGAACGCUAGCGGUGUGCCUAAUGCAUGCAAGUCGAACGGGAUCCUUUGGAUUCGUCUGAAGGUGAGAGUGGCGAACGGGUGAGUAACACGUAGGUGACCUGCCCCGGAGAGGGGGACAACCACUGGAAACGGUGGCUAAUACCCCAGAUGUUAUUGCGCUUAGAAAGCAAUUACUAAAGUUCCGGCGCUCCGGGAGGGGCCUGCGGCCCAUCAGCUUGUUGGUAAGGUAAUGGCUUACCAAGGCUAAGACGGGUAGGGGGCGUGAGAGCGUGACCCCCCACACUGGUACUGAGACACGGACCAGAUACCUGCGGGUAGCAGCAGCAAGGAAUAUUGCCCAAUGGACGAAAGUCUGAGGCAGCAACACCGCGUGGAGGAUGAAGGCCUCGGUGUAACUCUUCUGGGAGAGAAGA